rnacentral:rRNA from 1 species
AGAGUUUGAUCAUGGCUCAGAUUGAACGCUGGCGGCAGGCCUAACACAUGCAAGUCGAACGGUAACAGGAAGCAGCUUGCUGCUUCGCUGACGAGUGGCGGACGGGUGAGUAAUGUCUGGGAAACUGCCUGAUGGAGGGGGAUAACUACUGGAAACGGUGGCUAAUACCGCAUAACGUCGCAAGACCAAAGAGGGGGACCUUCGGGCCUCUUGCCAUCAGAUGUGCCCAGAUGGGAUUAGCUUGUUGGUGAGGUAACGGCUCACCAAGGCGACGAUCCCUAGCUGGUCUGAGAGGAUGACCAGCCACACUGGAACUGAGACACGGUCCAGACUCCUACGGGAGGCAGCAGUGGGGAAUAUUGCACAAUGGGCGCAAGCCUGAUGCAGCCAUGCCGCGUGUAUGAAGAAGGCCUUCGGGUUGUAAAGUACUUUCAGCGGGGAGGAAGGUGUUGUGGUUAAUAACCACAGCAAUUGACGUUACCCGCAGAAGAAGCACCGGCUAACUCCGUGCCAGCAGCCGCGGUAAUACGGAGGGUGCAAGCGUUAAUCGGAAUUACUGGGCGUAAAGCGCACGCAGGCGGUCUGUCAAGUCGGAUGUGAAAUCCCCGGGCUCAACCUGGGAACUGCAUUCGAAACUGGCAGGCUUGAGUCUUGUAGAGGGGGGUAGAAUUCCAGGUGUAGCGGUGAAAUGCGUAGAGAUCUGGAGGAAUACCGGUGGCGAAGGCGGCCCCCUGGACAAAGACUGACGCUCAGGUGCGAAAGCGUGGGGAGCAAACAGGAUUAGAUACCCUGGUAGUCCACGCCGUAAACGAUGUCUACUUGGAGGUUGUGCCCUUGAGGCGUGGCUUCCGGAGCUAACGCGUUAAGUAGACCGCCUGGGGAGUACGGCCGCAAGGUUAAAACUCAAAUGAAUUGACGGGGGCCCGCACAAGCGGUGGAGCAUGUGGUUUAAUUCGAUGCAACGCGAAGAACCUUACCUGGUCUUGACAUCCACGGAAGUUUUCAGAGAUGAGAAUGUGCCUUCGGGAACCGUGAGACAGGUGCUGCAUGGCUGUCGUCAGCUCGUGUUGUGAAAUGUUGGGUUAAGUCCCGCAACGAGCGCAACCCUUAUCCUUUGUUGCCAGCGGUUAGGCCGGGAACUCAAAGGAGACUGCCAGUGAUAAACUGGAGGAAGGUGGGGAUGACGUCAAGUCAUCAUGGCCCUUACGACCAGGGCUACACACGUGCUACAAUGGCGCAUACAAAGAGAAGCGACCUCGCGAGAGCAAGCGGACCUCAUAAAGUGCGUCGUAGUCCGGAUUGGAGUCUGCAACUCGACUCCAUGAAGUCGGAAUCGCUAGUAAUCGUGGAUCAGAAUGCCACGGUGAAUACGUUCCCGGGCCUUGUACACACCGCCCGUCACACCAUGGGAGUGGGUUGCAAAAGAAGUAGGUAGCUUAACCUUCGGGAGGGCGCUUACCACUUUGUGAUUCAUGACUGGGGUGAAGUCGUAACAAGGUAACCGUAGGGGAACCUGCGGUUG